rnacentral:snRNA from 1 species
GCACAUACCUGGCAGGGGAGAUACCAUGAUCACGCAGGUGGUUUUCCCAGGGUGAGGCUUAUCCAUUGCACUCCGGAUGUGCUGACCCCUGCGAUUUCCCCAAAUGUGGGAAACUCGACUGCAUAAUUUGUGGUAGUGGGGGCCUCCGUUCGCGCUCUCCCCUG